UUUUUUGUUUUUUGUUUUUUUUUUUUAUUUUUGAGACAGAGUCUCACUCUUGUCACCGAGGCUGGAGUGCAAUAGCAUUAUCUCGGCUCACUGCAGCCUCUGCCUCCCAGGUUCAAGUCAUCCUCCUACCUCAGCCUCCAAAGUAGCUGGGAUUACAGGUACCCACCACCAUGCCUGACUAAGUUUUGUAUUUUUAGUAGAGAUGGGGUUUUGCCAUGUUGGCCAGGCUGGUCUCCAACUCCUGACCUCAGGUGAUCCACCUGCCUCAGCCUCCCAAAGUGCUGGGAUUACAGGCAUGAGCCACCGUGCCUGGCCCCAGUGUUCUUAAUUAAUCCCUUUUAUUUCUCUUUCCCUCUUUCUUUCUUCUUCCAAGGUAGAGGACCUUUGGAGAUGUGAAUGAAAACAGCUGUCUGAACAAGUUGUACCCUAACUAGCACGUCCGCAAGUCCGAAGCUUGAAAUGGGGAAUUUGGUCAGCAUGGGCGAAGCUACGCAGCCCAGGUGAAGGGACACUCAGGCAGCAGCCUCUGCCUUUUCGUCCUCUCCUUUUCACGGAGAUGACAAGAAUCAUCCCAGGACUUAUCUUCUGAGGUGCUCAGCUGUGCUCCCAGAGCUGCUUUGGUCACUGCUAUUUUGGAAUUACACUGCAGCGAAUUCUCACGCACGGAGGGUGGAAGCAGGAUGAGUGAAGUCAUUCUGGAGAACAAUGUAAAUUAUAGCCAAAUUAUAUAUUUGCAUAUGCCAUGACCCAGCAUCCCAACAUAUGUCAGAGAAACUCUUGCACAGAUUCAUGUGGAAAUAAACAUAGUAAAGAUGUCCUACACAUCUUUCUGAUCCCAGGGAGUUGGAGGCAACUUAGGUACCCAUCAUUUGGGGAAUAGAGAACAUGUGGUGGGAGCUUAUGCUGGAAUACCAUGCAGCAGCUGAAGUAAUGAAUGAACACAAUUCUUUAACAAGACUGUUGACUGAACAUGUAAGAAACAGGACACUAUCUAUAGCACAGUGUCAUUUAAUAAUAUUAACAGAAGCAUACACAUACAAACAGUACUGUAAUUUUACGUUUCCAGGCACAAAAUUUCUUAUACAUGACAUUGGGUGGAGAGAGAAGAAGGAGACCUGUCAUGGGGAUCGAAGUUAGAGGGAAAAAAUUCAAAUAAAAUUAAAGAAUAGAGGGAGUUUAAACUGCCCAGUUAUGAUAAUUAACAUGCCAUGAACUGAAGAAACAACUCAGUUUUGCACUUGAAUUCCUAUGUAUGGAAACGGAAAUUCUCUUUGUCUCUUUCUCAUCUAUCUACAUACCUAUAACAUACUAUAGUUUCUGUGAUUAAAAGUAUCACAGAAAUGCAGAAAUGCAUAUGAAAUCUCACUGUCAAUAAUCAACCAUCAAAUACUUUUUAAACCUAUACUGCGGAUAGUCCUGCGCUAGGUCUGAUGGAACAUGCAAGAGCAUAGGGUAUUGUCCUUGUUGUUACCAUGCAGAUUGGAACUUACAUAGGAGACAAGAGCAUGCAAUUUAAAAUAGCAUAUAAUGAAUGCCUAAACUGUGUAAGACAUACACAAUGAGGUGCAUGACAUUUAAAAACAAAGAUGGCUGGUGAGAACAGGAGUGGUCACAGAAAACUCACUGGAGAAAGCAGAUCUACACAGGGCGGUGAAGGAUGGUGGAACUAGUUUGGCAGAGGGAAGGGGAACGGAAGCCGUAUAGAGACAUAAAUCGUGAAGCUACCAAGGAGACCAUGAGCGCAGUAGCCAGACCCCAGCAGAAGGGGCCAGCUUGAGGUGUGGAUGAAGCAGGGUGCAGUGCGUACUUAUCCUGUCGUCUGCGCAACAUUCAGCUUCUGGGAACCAUGUGUUGCCGCCUCUAGCUCCUUUAUCCCCAGGGCUUCUCGGAAGCCAUUUGUACAGAC
rnacentral:lncRNA from 1 species